rnacentral:lncRNA from 1 species
CCCUCUAGCUUGAAUCCUAAAUAUUUACCACUUAAUCAAAAUUGACUAUAUAUUCUGGUUCAAAAUCUAAGAAUAGUUCUUAGCUUUUAGAAAUUAAACCAUGUUCUUGACCAGGUUAACCCAAUGUCAUCAGCUUAUCCAAUCCAUAGUCAAUGAGCUAUACUUGACAAAUAGUUGGAUAUUGAUAAUUAAGUUAGGUGCUAUAAAUUGGAUUCCAUAGUCAACGAGAUCCAAUAUAUGCAUAAGGAUAUGUAGACUGCCAAUGACAUGCUAAUUCAUCUACAAUAGUUGUGAGAUGAUUAGAGUCGCAUAAUACAUGAGAUGCAUGAUGGACAGUUUAUCUAUGAUCGAUAAUCAAAGAUAUUGAAGAGCUUAAAAGACUCGACAUGACCGUGCAUAAAAAAUUACUAAAAAAUUUGAUCCUGCAAUUUUUGAUUUAUAUGGAUAGUUUGUGAAACUAUUAUAUGAAUAAAUAUUAUAGCACCUUAACUGAAUCGAUCGAUAUGCUGAUAACUAAAGGACCUUGAAAAAUUCAGAGGUACAUACCUGAAGAACCUAAAGAAAUAUUGACACACUUUUGGAAAGUAUGUCAAAUUGCUCAAAAUUAAUCUUACGAUUUUUUUUUUCAUUAGA